CAUUGGAUUUCAUUUUUCUCAAAUGAAGCUUUUGUUAUAAAUGUACAGAUUGUCAAUCAAAAUGUACACUUUGGCCAGAUUUCUUAAUAAAAAUAUGAACCAACUGGAAAAUAUGUAACCUUUCCUUCAUCUGCAAAUUUGUGCAAUUAGGAAGGUUUUGCUUAUUGGCAGAAGGCUCUAUGAAUGAAUAUAAUCAAAGUCAAGAUGACCACUGAUCUGGUACCGUGAGAAAAUAGGUUGUCAUCGCUUUUCUGAAUCUUUUCUUGUAUUGUUUCGGAGAAACAAUAGUUGGGGACGCGUUCCUUGGUCCUCCGAGUAUGCCUGAUGCCUUCACCCAUGUCUCUAAGUGCUUGUCCCAAGUAUAUUGCCUCAUGAAGUCGAUGAUCCCCAAGACUAGUUCUUUUCGUUCUUCAUCCACCCCGACCAGCAAAGAGUAGUCCAUCACAUCAACAGAUGCCAAAAAGGAUGUAUCAUUCCAAACAGCUCGCUCGAGGCUUCUUUUUGCUUUGCUUCCAAGAAAUAUGGGUUUGGUAUGCAAUGUUUCUAAAAGAUUCAUAUCUAGCAGCACUUUGUUUGCUCCAGUUGUAUCUGCAUUGUAGCGGGAUCGUAGAGAACCCUUGAGAUCAUACACCCUAGAGAUCUUUCUUUCGAAAAAGAGAUUCUCCAUCACAAUUAGAUCCAUUUUUGUUUCCCUGCCUCCUUUCAAAUGUUUGACCGAAACCUGAAAUAUUCCAAGAACUUUCGCAAGGCAAGUUGGACUCCGAGAGUUAAUAGAAUUUGUUAAAUAUUUGAAGUACUCUGGUGCAAAUUCCUCAAAAGAGUCCAACUCAGUUUUCUGAACUUGUUUUAUUAUGAAUCUUUCAUCGAAUGACUUGGCAAAGUAAACAUUGCUCUUUCCCCCUUGAGCACUCCAUCUUUUACAACGGCUUAAGGAACGUAC
rnacentral:misc_RNA from 1 species